AGUGAACGCUGGCGGUAGGCCUAACACAUGCAAGUCGAACGGCAGCACAGUAAGAGCUUGCUCUUACGGGUGGCGAGUGGCGGACGGGUGAGGAAUACAUCGGAAUCUACUUUUUCGUGGGGGAUAACGUAGGGAAACUUACGCUAAUACCGCAUACGACCUACGGGUGAAAGCAGGGGAUCUUCGGACCUUGCGCGAUUGAAUGAGCCGAUGUCGGAUUAGCUAGUUGGCGGGGUAAAGGCCCACCAAGGCGACGAUCCGUAGCUGGUCUGAGAGGAUGAUCAGCCACACUGGAACUGAGACACGGUCCAGACUCCUACGGGAGGCAGCAGUGGGGAAUAUUGGACAAUGGGCGCAAGCCUGAUCCAGCAAUACCGCGUGUGUGAAGAAGGCCUUCGGGUUGUAAAGCCCUUUUGUUGGGAAAGAAAAGCAGCAGGUUAAUACCCCGCUGUUCUGACGGUACCCAAAGAAUAAGCACCGGCUAACUUCGUG
rnacentral:rRNA from 1 species